GACGAACGCUGGCGGCGUGCUUAACACAUGCAAGUCGAGCGGUAAGGCCCUUCGGGUACGACGAGCGGCGAACGGGUGAGUAACACGUGGGUGACCUGCCUCUAGCUCUGGGAUAAGCCUGGGAAACUGGGUCUAAUACCGGAUAUGACUCCACGGCGCAUGUUGUGGGGUGGAAAGCCUUGAGUGGCUAGAGAUGGGCCCGCGGCCUAUCAGCUUGUUGGUGGGGUGAUGGCCUACCAAGGCGACGACGGGUAGCCGGCCUGAGAGGGCGACCGGCCACACUGGGACUGAGACACGG
rnacentral:rRNA from 1 species